rnacentral:rRNA from 1 species
CCCUUAGAUGUCCUGGGCUGCUCGCGCGCUACACUGAUGUGUCCAGUAAGCACCUAACCUCUUCCGAAAGGAACGGGUAACCUUUGCAAAGCACAUCGUGAUGGGGAUAGAUUAUUGCAAUUAUUAGUCUUGAACGAGGAAUUCCUAGUAAGCACAAGUCAUCAGCUUGUGUUGAUUACGUCCCUGCCCUUUGUACACACCGCCCGUCGCUCCUACCGAUUGAAUGUUCCGGUGAGCUCUUCGGACUGCGCGGUCUGCAGUUUCUGCGUUCCGUGCGGAAAGUUGCGCAAACCUUAACAUUUAGAGGAAGGAGAAGUCGUAACA